GAAAUAAUGUGUAAUGGAAUACAGCAGCGAUGCUAACCAAAUCCUUGUUUUCUCGUUUGCAGGCUGGCCUGCCAAUGGUGACUCCUUGGGACUGAAGCUUCACUUUCUUACAGGUUGAAAUCUUGAAUUGUGAAAAUGGAAGAUUUGGCAUCUGCUGCUUAUUUGACGUUCAACACCUUCCUAAAUUCUCACUAAAAGCUGAAGAGGAAAUCCUGCAAGAUGUCAAACACUUUGGGUAGCGGUAGUUAGAUGUGCUCCAGUGGAUGUUCAAUGACCGGCCUUUCAUGUGUAAGAUCUUCAGGCAACUGUCAAAAAAACAAAGAUUAUACGGAAACACAAAAGGGAAAUUUUAAUGCCUCCAGCAAUGCCCUCUAAGAGCAUAGGGGAACGCCAAUACAAUAUGCUGUUUAUAUCGGAAUCUUCCAAAACACAAAAAAUGCAUUGCCCUGGACGCCAUUCCAGGCUUCUAAUACCUCAAUAUCAACUUCAUGCAACUUCAUACAAGACAAGCAAGACAAUUUUCUGUAUGUGUAAUGUAACUGUAUUGAUAGUGGGUAGCAAAAGUGGAAUAUAAUACAAACUGAAAUAGAAAAUAUGUUGGUAUGUUACUCAAACCAAAUACUUUCCAAAGCCAGGAUGAUUAUUAGCCAUCAGGACUAAACAUGUUAGCAAUGUGUGCAAGCUCACAAAACAGCAUAGUGAAUUUACUCCAGAAAUGAAAAUUUGGGUGGCUAUUGAACACACUUUGAAAUACUUUUCAGGAUAUGAAAC